UUCAUCAGCCUCUACCUCCUGAGUGCAGGGAUUCAAGGCAUAAGGCACCACCACCUGGACUAAGAAUUUCAUACAUGUAAAAACAUUUUUGAGACAGUGUUUCACUAUGUAGACUGGCUUCAACUUCACAAUCCCCUUCCUUUACAGGGAUGCCACACCACCACCGAUUUAAACUCCUGCUUAUCACGUGGUUGACGGGCCUGUCUGGUUUGACUCUUACGUGAGAGCAAUGGUACAUCUUCAUUCUUCAUCAGAAAGCCAACUACAACACAGUCAUUUAACAUGUACGGUUCCCGGAGACAGACUGAUUUAAUUAUAUGUUAAUAACCUUACAGGCAGACCAGCAUGUCACAUCUCCCCUCCCAGCGCCAGAGGUAGGACUUGGGUCCCAAUCUUGUAGAUAAUAUUUGAUCUUGCAGUUCCACUCUUCGGUUUACAGCCUGUUUAUUAUUAAUAAAAACCUCGAGUUUGA